CAAAGCCUGCAGAAAAAUUCUACACAUUUUAUUUUUUGCUGCAAGGGUGCCUUGCUAAUGAAAUCAUAAGUGGGUGUUGCUAUUGAUGUUUGCUAAUGGUCUGUCUGUACAAAGAAAGUGUGUGUGUGUCUUUUUUUGUCUACCACAUGGUCCCACUUUAUCCCAUUGAAAACUGUUAGCUUGAGCUAGUUGCCAGCUUGAUAACUGUCGACUGGCUAGCUCAGAUUCGCCUCAACACAAAGAUUCAUUCCCUGACUUGUGGGGUGGAGAACAAGCCGGAGGAGACAACGGAGCACAAAGUGAUGACGGAAGUGAGCCAGACAAAGUGACAGAGAAGGAGAAGAAGAAGAAGAGGAAGAAGAAGAACGUAGGCCUUGGGGAUGGAAGACAAAGAAAGGCAGUCAAUAGAUAAAGCCAGACAGACAAGACUGUGUGGGCGUGUUCACUGGAGGUGCUGGAGACAAACCCUUCACCUGUCAAUCAAAUAUGUUCGCUGUAGUCAACUGCUGGCUGAACAAUGUGUGCCACUGUGUUUAUGGUUAAUAAACAGUUAACUUUCCCGUGUGUGUGUAUGUGUGUUAUGUGGGGACUAACAAACACAACAACUCCGAGCGAGGCGCUGCUGUUUUAAACGACUUCGCCGAGGUUGAGCGAGCUGUUUAGCUCCUUCGCUCACUAGUUCCAUAGCUCGUGGCUAGUAAACAUAACAAGUGGUUGAAUUAAGUGUCUCUGUUCUGUUGAUCUACGCAUGAAGCAAGGCUGUGGCGUAUUGGACGGCGCCAACGCCGGUCCACAAGCCCACUAGCGGCUAAUAUGUACUACCCUAGCCACUAUAGUAGCAGGCCACUUUGCAGUGAAGCCGUCUAACUCACAGUCAGCUCGCUGUGUGGGCCGCA